GACGAACGCUGGCGGCGUGCUUAACACAUGCAAGUCGAACGAAAAGACGGAAAGAGCUUGCUCUUUUCAGAAUUGAGUGGCAAACGGGUGAGUAACACGUAAACAACCUGCCUUCAGGAUGGGGACAACAGACGGAAACGACUGCUAAUACCGAAUAAGUUCCAAGGGUCGCAUGAUCCAUGGAAGAAAAGGUGGCCUCUACCUGUAAGCUAUCGCCUGAAGAGGGGUUUGCGUCUGAUUAGCUGGUUGGAGGGGUAACGGCCCACCAAGGCGACGAUCAGUAGCCGGUCUGAGGGGAUGAACGGCCACACUGGAACUGAGACACGGUCCAGACUCCUACGGGAGGCAGCAGUGGGGAAUCUUCCGCAAUGGGCGAAAGCCUGACGGAGCAACGCCGCGUGAGUGAUGACGGCCUUCGGGUUGUAAAACUCUGUGAUCCGGGACGAAAAGGCAGAGUGCGAAGAACAAACUGCAUUGACGGUACCGGAAAAGCAAGCCACGGCUAACUACGUGCCAGCAGCCGCGGUAAUACGUAGGUGGCAAGCGUUGUCCGGAAUUAUUGGGCGUAAAGCGCGCGCAGGCGGCUUCCCAAGUCCCUCUUAAAAGUGCGGGGCUUAACCCCGUGAUGGGAAGGAAACUGGGAAGCUGGAGUAUCGGAGAGGAAAGUGGAAUUCCUAGUGUAGCGGUGAAAUGCGUAGAGAUUAGGAAGAACACCGGUGGCGAAGGCGACUUUCUGGACGAAAACUGACGCUGAGGCGCGAAAGCGUGGGGAGCAAACAGG
rnacentral:rRNA from 1 species